CACCUACGGGGGGCAGCAGUGAGGAAUAUUGGUCAAUGGGAGAGAUCCUGAACCAGCCAAGCCGCGUGAGGGAAGACGGCCCUAUGGGUUGUAAACCUCUUUUGUCGGAGAACAAAACCCGGGACGUGUCCCGGACUGCGUGUAUCCGAAGAAAAAGCAUCGGCUAACUCCGUGCCAGCAGCCGCGGUAAUACGUAGGUGGCAAGCGUUAUCCGGAUUUAUUGGGCGUAAAGCGAGCGCAGGCGGUUGCUUAGGUCUGAUGUGAAAGCCUUCGGCUUAACCGAAGAAGUG
rnacentral:rRNA from 1 species